UCGGGUUGGCGACACGGGCCAUCUACCACCAACCUACUGAAGCGCAGCUCAGAUUUCAGAUGGAUUGAGUCCAGGUUCAAUCACUGGUAUAAUAAUAGCAGCAGCAGCAGUGAUUAUAGCAGCAGUGAUAUGUUACCUGCUGAGAGGUUAUCUGCCCCACUGCAAAAGUAAAAUGAUAUCUAAAGAGAUGCAGACCUUCUCAAAAAAUGAAGACGGAAUGUCACUGUCUGCCGCAGCAAAUACAAAUGGUCCAAAUGAAAACGAUCAGAGUGGAAAACCACUUCAGAGUGAAGAAGAAAGAGAGGAGACACAGAAAGAAGAGAUGUCAGUCACAUCAACCAUACUAAUGCCUCAGAAUCCAGGAGAGGACACUGACUCAGGGGAGGACAAAGAGGAAAGUUGACAAGCGGGUAAUUGUCCAAUUGCAUACAGUACCAGUCAAAAGUACCAGUCAAAAGUUUGGACACACCUACUCAUUCAAGGAUUUUUCUUACAAUUUCCUACAUUGUUGAAUAAUAGUGAAGA